UAGAGUAUAGAAAUUCUCUGCAACAGUAUUGAGGGAAACUCACUAGAAGCUACUAUAAAUACUCCAGGAAAUAAGUAUGAAGGUCUGAAUACGAAUGGAGGCAAUGGGAAUGGAAAAAAAAGAUGAAAGGGUAUAACAGAAAGGAUAUAGCACCUGAAUGACUGUGGAGGGCAAAGAAGAAAGACUCAAAGGGGUACAUGUUUCUUCAUUGUUCAAGUUCUAAA
rnacentral:lncRNA from 1 species